GCAGCGGUGGUUCAGUGGUAGAAUUCUCACCUUCCAUGUGGGAGACCUGGGUUCGAUUCCAGCCAAUGUG
rnacentral:tRNA from 1 species